rnacentral:rRNA from 1 species
UUGAAAGGGAAACGAUUGAAGUCAGUCGUGCUGGCGCGAAAUCAACCCUCUCGUCGAGAGGUCACAUGGCGUGGCGAGCCUCAAAACCGUCACGAAGCGUGAACUCUUGGUGAAAUGGAGCACUUUCGUGUCCGCUGGUUAACAUCAAUUUCGAUCGUCAUAAAAAGGCUGGAGGGAUGUGGCUCCUUCGGGAGUGUUAUAACCUUUAGCGGAAUGUGGUGGUCGGGAUUGAGGAUUGCAACGAAUACCUUUAGGGCUGUUCCACCUGGCUUCUCUUUGGUAUCCUGGUGACGACAGCUUGCUGACGUCGUUAGGAUUCGCCUUUGAACAGGUUAGAGUGUGAGCAAAUUCGUUAAGGAUGUUGACGUA